CAUGCAGUCGAGGGGUAACAUUGUAGCUUGCUACAGAUGACGACCGGCGCACGGGUGCGUAACGCGUAUAGAACCUACCUUUUACAUAGGGAUAGCCUUUAGAAAUGAAGAUUAAUACCUUAUAGUAUUGAGACUUGGCAUCAAGUUUUAAUUAAAGAUUUAUCGGUAAAAGAUGGCUAUGCGUCCUAUUAGUUAGUUGGUAAGGUAACGGCUUACCAAGACAUCGAUAGGUAGGGGUCCUGAGAGGGAGAUCCCCCACACUGGUACUGAGACACGGACCAGACUCCUACGGGAGGCAGCAGUGAGGAAUAUUGGACAAUGGAGGCAACUCUGAUCCAGCCAUGCCGCGUGUAGGAAGAAUGCCCUAUGGGUUGUAAACUACUUUUAUACAGGAAGAAACACUGGUAUGUAUACCAGCUUGACGGUACUGUAAGAAUAAGGACCGGCUAACUCCGUGCCAGCA
rnacentral:rRNA from 1 species